AUUGAACGCUGGCGGCCGGCCUAACACAUGCAAGUCGAACGAGUGGCGGACGGGUGAGUAAUGACUGGGAAACUGCCUGAUGGAGAGGGAUAACUACUGGACACGGUAGCUAAUACCGCAUACCAUCAGCUGUGCCCAGAUGGGAGUAGCUUGGUGGUGGGGUACCGGCUCACCAGGGCGACGAACCCUAGCUGGGUUGAGAGGAUGACCAGCCACAGUGGAACGUGGACGCGCGCCCUGCUCGUACGGGAGGCCGCAGUGGGGAAUAUUGCACAUGGGGCGCAAGCCUGAUGCAGCCAUGCCGCGUGUAUGAAGACGGCCUUCGGGUUGUAAAGUACUUUCAGCGUGGAUGCGUUACCCGCAGAAGAAGCACCGGCUAACUCCGUGCCAGCAGCCGCGGUAAUUC
rnacentral:rRNA from 1 species